rnacentral:rRNA from 1 species
UACGGAGGAUCCAAGCGUUAUCCGGAAUCAUUGGGUUUAAAGGGUCCGUAGGCGGUUUAAUAAGUCAGUGGUGAAAGCCCAUCGCUUAACGAUGGAACGGCCAUUGAUACUGUUAGACUUGAAUUAUUAGGAAGUAACUAGAAUAUGUAGUGUAGCGGUGAAAUGCUUAGAUAUUACAUGGAAUACCAAUUGCGAAGGCAGGUUACUACUAAUGGAUUGACGCUGAUGGACGAAAGCGUGGGGAGCGAACAGG